UUACUGAAGUGGUAGUUAUAUAUAUUCUUCAGCAUCCAUGACUUCACUAGUCCUGGGUAGUUAGUUCACUAGGUUUCCAGUAAUAAGUAUGAGUUCCUGGUCCUACCAGAGAGCUGUUGGUUACUGCAGUGUGUGAGGGCAGCCACUGGAUGACAAGGGUUAUCAUGCCAUGCUGGGAAUUGUGGUUCAUAGGCAUCACUGCGUAGGGAGGACUAUUUGUUGCUUCCUUCCAUUGGAAGCUUAACAUGGCCUUCUCUGGUACCAUGAAAAUGAGUUCUCGGGGUGGAGCUGUCCGGUAAGAUGGAGCUCAGAGCUUCUGAUCAUGUGACUUGUAGGACAUCUCCAGGCACAGGGAGUUAACUUCCACCUCUAAAGGACAACCAAGGGCCAUAGCCUAUGGUAUUUUGGGAGUCUUAGACACCUCUGAUAAACUCAGAGGACGACUUCCUUCUCAUGACUGAUAUUUGGGACUUUGCUAGACAGUCCAUGGCCUUUGUGGGGAGCGUUGCCAGCUCAGAUAGCAAAAGGUUCAUUUAAGCUUUAUAUAUUUAUACAGGGACUAUUGUGUAUUGUAGGUGUUUAUGUACAUAGUUAUGUACAUUUAUGAUGAUCCCUCUUCCAUUUUUUUCAUUCUUACUGUUCUUUUGCUUUUAUUUCAUUCCUCCUCCUUAAAUAGAACCCCCCACACUUCCACCUUCAGAGGACACAUACCCCACCAUUUCCUUCUUGUACCCCUGAGUUACCCCCUUUCCCUUUUCCGCUUCCUAUAGUCACCACAGGCUAUGUAUCCACAUGUGAAGACUGGGAACUGGGAGCCUCCAGUGAAUGAGAACACGGCACUCUUUUUUUUUUUUUUUUUGAUGCAAUAUCUCAUGAGGUUUAACCGGGAGUCAGCAUGCUGAGGUUGAGCUCAUAACCCGCACAGGGGCAGAGAAGAUUGACCCCCAUAAGUUGCUGUUGGGGGCUUUUUGAAGGAAAAAAAACACAAAGAAAGGGGAGGAUAAGACCACAAAGAAUGGGGAAGCUGAGUAAGUACCAUAAGAAUGGGGGUGAUGAGGUUCAGCUCAUCUUUGAUGUAAGGAUUAUAGGCUAUCUUUGGCAAACAUUCCACAAGGGAUGGGGAAGUUGAGUAAACAUAAGAAUGGGGUUGAUGAGUUAUAGCUCAUCUCCGGCGGAGGGGUUACAGGCUAUCUUUGGCAAACAUUCCUGGUCCCUAACACAAUGAGUCAGGCGCCUGGGUGGGUCACCCAGUGGUCUUUGGCUUCUCAGGCUGCCUGGUAAGAGAACAAAGAGCUUUAUGCUGGCUUUGUUUCUAGGGGUCUGGGAGACAUAGUGAGUUGGGGGUCUUACAUUCCCCACUCCUAGUAAAUAGUUCUAGUCAUAGAACUAGAAAAAUUAAACCUUUGACUCAGUACAGCCCGUAUCAGCCUGUUCUACUUUUUGAUAUUGUUGGCAUAGCAUAAGAACCUGUACAGUGUUAACCUGCUGCCUGACAAAAGCCAUUAUCUUGUUAAUUAUGCAGGAGCCUAUAGUAAGUAAUAGAAGCAAGAUUAAUAAGGGGCCCAUGAGGGCAGAUAGUAAAGUAGUUAUCCAUGGGGAUUUUGUGAACCAACCUUCAAACCAUCCUUCAUUAGCUUCUCGCUCUCAUUUUCAUUUUUCUAACCUUUCUCUGAGUUUAGCCAUAGAGUCUCUAAUUGCCCCUGAGUGGUCAAUAUAGAAGCAGAACUCUUCUUUUAGGGUCACACAUAGUUCUCCUUCUUUGAGGAAUAAUAAAUCUAAGCCUCUCCUAUUCUGUAAGACUACUUCAGAGAGUGAAGUCAAAGACUUCUAACUGACUGACUUUUCUAAAGCCUUAAUGUCUACUGUUAUUGCUGCGUGAGGUCCUUCUAGACCUUGUUUCAGUUGUUGAGGUCCAGUUACCAAGGCAGAGGUCCCCAUACCGACCCCAGGGCUAGUCCCAAACCCAUGACCAUUGCGAGGGUGAGGGAGAUAGGCUCUCUCGUCUUUCUGGUAUUUUUGAAAUCAUAAGCGCCUAGGACCUCGUUAUCAGGGUGGUAGUAUAUCCUAGGGACUAAUUGCGUUAACACACAAAAAUCUUUCGACUGAUCGAAAACAGCCGUAGCAACACAGUCAAUCUGGAGCUGCAAGCCCACCAAUAAUGGUUGCCAGGCCAAAGAAAUUGGUUUUUAGAAGAAGCAGGAAUAAUCCAGGUAUGGUUGCAGAGGUGUCUAUGAGAAGGAGGUACAACUCCUAUACAUUUCCCUGAUCCUGAAAUUUCAUCUAAGGUGAGCCUAUUCUUGGAUUGCCCCCAGGGGCAGAGGCUUGCAUCUGAAGUCAUAGUAGUUGAUCCAUCUACUGCCGUUCCUUCAUAAUAAGGGGGCCUGGCUGCCAAACAGAGCCAACAUGAGGUCACAGUUCUAGGAUUUGUAACAUUGAGAGCCUUAGAAGCCCCUUGAAUGAGACUAAAGAGUCUUUCACCAGCAGUAGGAGGCUGGGUGGAGGUUCCUGCACUGGGAACGAUUGUCCCCUGGGGUUGGGGCUCAGGAAUCUUAGAAGGAGGGGGUGGUGGUACUUGUCGAGGAGGAGUCUCCUGUACCUUGUCCGGCCCAGUAAGAUGGUGGGAGGGCUCUCAACCCUGAGGCAAAUGUGGAAAGUGAAGCCAUUGUCCCAUCCUUGCAUGUAAAAUCUGAGCCCCCAGGAAUCAUCGUGGGCUAUGGGAGGGGCUGCUUUCACGUGGGACACGUGGAUCCAAGCUGGGAUGCCGUCAACUUUGAUGGUGGUGGGACUUGUCAGAAGCACCAGGGCAGCCUCGAGCAUCAAGAUGAAAAACCCAUGAAGAAAAAAAGUUCACCAGCCAGCACUCCACGAGACACUAGUCUCAGCCCCAAACUGGAAUCACCUACUGAACAGACAACAAGACCAAGAGCCACUGUGUGGUGGAUAGCUUUGCUAGGAUCCACCAGUCAGUACAACUAAAGCCUUCACUUAACCCGGGCGCGGCUGUGCUUGUUUGUUGUAAAUUGGAGAAGCUAUCUUUACUGGGAAUAUCCGGUACAUCUAGCACAGGGGCAUCUCCAGUGUGUCUUUUGGGAUAGUGAGUUCUGAGUCAAAGCAUAGGAUUUAAUAAGAGGAGUGAAGGGACAGAUGUCAUUUCAAUCAUCCUGUCUCCUGGACACCACUGUACAGUGCACAGAUAACAGCCAUUAGCUUUUAGGCAGUUGUAGAG